UGUGUGACAGGGAGCUCCCGCACUGGGCCAAGCCGCCAUGCCGAGGUACCCGCUCCGGGAACAGACGCGCUCGUUUCCAUUUAAAACGCUCGAGAAGUUACAAUUCAAGAUUAGCCCGAAUGUCGGCAUCUUCUGUAUCAGACAAGGUGAUCCUACUUCAAAAAUCACUCUUGAAGAAGCAAAAAAAAAAAAAAAAAAAAAAAAAAGUGACUGCCCCGCCAUUGCCGUCGCUACAGGCAGUAAUGACAGUUUCGGAGCUGUUCUCGACCGCACUGGGUGUGAGGUGGCCUGCCUCUCUGAGCUUGCCCUCCAGCACCUGAGCACAUAAUGCUGACAGCCGAAACCACUUGCUGUUAACAGUGGCUGAAGGAUGGAGUUUGCUCCGUGGGAGGCAAGAAUAGGAUUUAUUGCACCCAGCUUUACAAGUCUGCAUCUGAGCUUCUAAGCCAGGCUACAGCAGAAUCAAUGGAAAUAAGGAAAUAUUUGGAACAGAUUCAUCAUUUAGAUUGUGGUACGCUACAGGUGAAACCAGAUCGUCCUCUGUACUGGUUCUGUGGUUUGACACCAUCUGGAAGGACUGAAGCAAGGACUGUGUUAAGAAAGAAGCAUAUCAAGUGUCUGAGCUAAAUGUUUUAUGACUAUGAACAAUAUCAUAAAGAGACAUGGAAAUACUGGUAAGGCUUUUCCCUGUAUUCCAGGAGCUAGAAUUUAAAAAAAUCCAAAUUAGUUCCAUGCUAAGGACCAGGGAUACACGUCCAGCAAGCCUGCCGCCAUGCUCAUGUUACUGCAGAGCUUGUGGAGGUGUGGAUACAAAAGCAUAUUCACAGGCAGUGGAUACUUAUAGCGUGGA